rnacentral:rRNA from 1 species
CACUCCUGCGGGAGGCAGCAGUGGGGAAUUUUGGACAAUGGGCGAAAGCCUGAUCCAGCCAUGCCGCGUGCAGGAUGAAGGCCUUCGGGUUGUAAACUGCUUUUGUACGGAACGAAACGGCCUUUUCUAAUAAAGAGGGCUAAUGACGGUACCGUAAGAAUAAGCACCGGCUAACUACGUGCCAGCAGCCGCGGUAAUACGUAGGGUGCAAGCGUUAAUCGGAAUUACUGGGCGUAAAGCGUGCGCAGGCGGUUAUGUAAGACGGUUGUGAAAUCCCCGGGCUCAACCUGGGAACUGCAUCUGUGACUGCAUAGCUAGAGUACGGUAGAGGGGGAUGGAAUUCCGCGUGUAGCAGUGAAAUGCGUAGAUAUGCGGAGGAACACCGAUGGCGAAGGCAAUCCCCUGGACCUGUACUGACGCUCAUGCACGAAAGCGUGGGGAGCAAACAGGAUUAGAUACCCUGGUAGUCCCA